AUUGAACGCUGGCGGCAGGCCUAACACAUGCAAGUCGAACGAGUGGCGGACGGGUGAGUAAUGUCUGGGAAACUGCCCGAUGGAGGGGGAUAACUACUGGAAACGGUAGCUAAUACCGCAUACCAUCGGAUGUGCCCAGAUGGGAUUAGCUUGUAGGUGAGGUAACGGCUCACCUAGGCGACGAUCCGUAGCUGGUCUGAGCGGAUGACCGGCGAAGCUGGAACGGAGACACGGUCCAGGCUCCUACGGGAGGCAGCAGUGGGGAAUAGUGCAAAAUGGGUGCAAGCGUGAUGCAGCCAUGCCGCGGGUAUGAAGAAGGCCUUCAGGUUGUAAAGUACUUUCAGCGGGUAGGCGUUACCCUCAGAAGAAUCACCGGCUAACUCCGUGCCAGCAGCCGCGGUAAUUC
rnacentral:rRNA from 1 species